GACGAACGCUGGCGGCGCGCUUAACACAUGCAAGUCGAACGGAAAGGCCCUGCUUUUGUGGGGUGCUCGAGUGGCGAACGGGUGAGUAACACGUGAGUAACCUGCCCUUGACUUUGGGAUAACUUCAGGAAACUGGGGCUAAUACCGGAUAGGAGCUCCUGCUGCAUGGUGGGGGUUGGAAAGUUUCGGCGGUUGGGGAUGGACUCGCGGCUUAUCAGCUUGUUGGUGGGGUAGUGGCUUACCAAGGCUUUGACGGGUAGCCGGCCUGAGAGGGUGACCGGCCACAUUGGGACUGAGAUGCGGCCCAGACUCCUACGGGAGGCAGCAGUGGGGAAUAUUGCACAAUGGGCGGAAGCCUGAUGCAGCAACGCCGCGUGCGGGAUGACGGCCUUCGGGUUGUAAACCGCUUUCGCCUGUGACGAAGCGUGAGUGACGGUAAUGGGUAAAGAAGCACCGGCUAACUACGUG
rnacentral:rRNA from 1 species